rnacentral:rRNA from 1 species
GAUGAACGCUGGCGGCGUGCCUAAUACAUGCAAGUAGAACGCUGAAGGAGGAGCUUGCUCUUCUGGAUGAGUUGCGAACGGGUGAGUAACGCGUAGGUAACCUGCCUGGUAGCGGGGGAUAACUAUUGGAAACGAUAGCUAAUACCGCAUGACAACAGUUAUUGCAUGAUAACUGUUUAAAAGGGGCAACUGCUCCACUACCAGAUGGACCUGCGUUGUAUUAGCUAGUUGGUGAGGUAACGGCUCACCAAGGCGACGAUACAUAGCCGACCUGAGAGGGUGAUCGGCCACACUGGGACUGAGACACGGCCCAGACCCCUACGGGAGGCAGCAGUAGGGAAUCUUCGGCAAUGGACGGAAGUCUGACCGAGCAACGCCGCGUGAGUGAAGAAGGGUGUCGGAUCGUAAAGCUCUGUUGUAAGAGAAGAACGAGUGUGAGAGUGGAAAGUUCACACUGUGACGGUAUCUUACCAGAAAGGGACGGCUAACUACGUG